rnacentral:rRNA from 1 species
UAGGGAAUCUUCGGCAAUGGACGAAAGUCUGACCGAGCAACGCCGCGGGAGUGAAGAAGGUUUUCGGAUCGUAAAACUCUGUUGUUUGAGAAGAACAAGGACGUUAGUAACUGAACGUCCCCUGACGGUAUCUAACCAGAAAGCCACGGCUAACUACGUGCCAGCAGCCGCGGUAAUACGUAGGUGGCAAGCGUUGUCCGGAUUUAUUGGGCGUAAAGCGAGCGCAGGCGGUUUCUUAAGUCUGAUGUGAAAGCCCCCGGCUCAACCGGGGAGGGUCAUUGGAAACUGGGAGACUUGAGUGCAGAAGAGGAGGGUGUAAUUCCAUGUGUAGCGGUGAAAUGCGUAGAUAUAUGGCGGAACACCAGUGGCGAAGGCGGCUCUCUGGGCUGUAACUGACGCUGAGGCUCGAAAGCGUGGGGAGCAAACAGG